GGGCUAACUUUGGCAGCAAGUAUACUAAAAUUAGAACAAUACAAAAGAUUAGCGUGGUCCCUGUGCAAGGAUGACACACAAAUUCAUGAUGCAAAAAAUUCCCUU
ensembl:snRNA U6 U6 spliceosomal RNA